UUGGAGUUCCCAGAAUCCAUGUCCUGGUGU
rnacentral:piRNA from 1 species